rnacentral:lncRNA from 1 species
GGGGGGGGAGCGAGCGCUCGCGGGCCCCGUGGUGGGUUCGGCUGCGCGGCGGGGCUGAGGCGGCCGCGAAGGUCCGAGCGCAGAAAGUGGACACUGGGUUCCUGAACCUCCUCACUGAAGACAGCCAGGCCUCAAGCACAGGGUAGAGUGGUGCUGCUUCUUGGAAAAACUGAAAAAGCUCUCUGGACGACAGGGGCCCAAAGCUGAUGGCAGACAAUGUCAGCCACUAACAACAUAGCCCAGGCUCGGAAGCUGGUGGAGCAGCUCCGCAUCGAGGCCGGGAUCGAGCGCAUCAAGGUCUCCAAAGCCUCAUCUGAACUCAUGAGCUACUGUGAGCAGCACGCCCGGAAUGACCCCCUGCUCGUGGGAGUCCCUGCCUCCGAGAACCCCUUUAAGGACAAGAAGCCUUGUAUUAUCUUAUAGCUUUGUUUUCUUGCGCUCAACUCCUCCCCGACACCCAGCCUCCAGUCAGGGCGCCAUUCAGUACAGAGUCCAGCAAAACUCUUAAUUCCAAAAGAAAUGCAAAAAGUUGCCACUGCCCAGAUGGGUUAAGAUGGAUCCUCUGAUUUCAGAUGGAUUUUCAGACCCCGCAAUGCAGCCCCCUUAAGGGCCGGGCUUCUGCACCGCUUCCGAUUGGAAAUAACUGAAAUGCCCAAGUGGUGUGCUAACAGUUUUUGAAAACUGAGUUGACCUUUGGGUUGUGGCUCAGAGCCGAGCUGGGCCAGGGUAUGGGAAGGAGGUGGGUGAACUAGCCGCUGGCCUGGGCAACCCGGCCAGGUGGCAAGUCUCACACUGUUGGCCGUUUGUGAUGACUUCUGCCAGGUUGAUGAUGUGAUGCUUUUUUUUGGGGGGGGGGCUCUCAAGCAGAAAUGCAGCCUGGGGAGGCCUACGCGCAGUGAGUAGGGCUGCCUGGUGCUUCAGGGUGUAACAAGGUGUGAGAUUAUCUGGAAGUAGCUGUGAAGGCCGGGGAGUUCGAGAGACACUCUCAGUGCUCCCUCUGCACUAUCGCCCUACCACGUGGAGCGUCUGAUCUGCGGGAGGAAAUGAGGUGUGUCUCCCAACAUCCUUGGAAAUGUGAGGUCCUAGAGUUGACCGUUGGGGACAGGACAGAGGCUUUUUUACAAUUGCUGUUUCCUCUGUUGUGACAAGGACAGUUAAAGGAUGGGAGGCAGGAGGACAGGCCCAACGCACACCUGCCCUCACCUGCCAGCACUACCAACAGCUGCCGGGACUCCCGCCCUGAGCUCUGGGUCCAGCUGCCUGCAACCUGGGAGGAGGUCAGAAUCCCAGGCCUAGAAGGAGCAUCCUGGGCAGCCGGCAGAAGGCACUUGGGGCCAGGCCCAGAGCCCCGAGCUCCCCUCGUGCCCCUGGGUCUCAGACCUUGCAUGGCUGCACCUCGCAGCCGGCCCACACAGGGUGCAGACCAAGGCCAACUUUCUCCCUGGCAUCCAGCUCUCUCCGGCCGGUCCGGGAGCACCUGGGGCCUGGGGAGUCUGGCUUCUCUGAAGCAGCACUUGGGCGGGGAGGGUCCGCAAAGCCCCCCCACGAUGCUGCCCCCUCUCACUGCACAGGGAGCCUGCACUCUGACAGAGCAGCAGGACAAACGAAGCUCAUUCUAGAAACCCCGGGCAUGCCCAGUUGGGGGCAGGGCAUGGCGGGACUGAAGCCAAGGGGCAGAGGGGGGCAGCUGGCAGAGCGCAUCUGCCAGCGAGGACCCCCCCACCAGCUUUCUGCUGACUGGUAACUGUUUGGUCUGGGUCAGAAGCCUUAAUCCCUUGAGCCCAAGCCGGGGCCAUGCACUCCUGGCCCCCGAGAGCAGGAGGGGUCCUGAUCAGCGUCAGGAGAGCCCCAGGGCCCAGACCUCCCCUCUCUCUCCACCCCCUGCCCUGCCAGCUGUGCCAAGCCCAGCCCCACUGCGUGUCCCCACCCAAGUGACCCGAGCAGCCAGUGGGAAGCAAAGCCCAGGACCCCUGGCUGAGGGGUGGGAGGAACUUGAGUUCAGCGGCCACAUCGUCCCCUCCUGGGCCAGGGGUCCCCUAGUGGGAAUGCCAGGGGCCCAGCUGUCUUGGUAAACUGAGGCUCCUGGAAGGUUUGGACCACUGUCCUCCCCAUCCACCCACCCAAGGCCACCCCUGCCCAAGCACCACAGUCUCGGAGCCCGGGGGGGGGCUGUCAGCAAGGCCCCACUCUGGGCUUCUUUCUAGCCAAGAAAAAGGGCCUCUUUCUUCCCUUCCUUUCCUCCUUGUAGAGUAAUCGUCAGUGUCCCUAAUGCAGGCUUGAAGCAUCAGUGCCCACGUGACAGUGUGUUCUGCUUGUGGUUUCCUUGUGCACGUGUCGGCAUGAAAACACGUUUUGAGGGUAUUUUGGCGGCCGUAAGUGCCCCCAUGAGGCCAGGAGUGGACCUUGGGGAAACCAGCAUGUCUCAAGCACGUCACAGGGGAGUGAAGGAAACACAAGAAGGCAGGGCUGGGUGACUUGGAGUCUCCCUCCUCCCACAGCCUCCUCUCCCCUCCCCCUUUCUCUCCCAAGGUGUCCCCCAGCCCGAGAAUUAAGUGACUGGGUUGUGACCUCUGGCCCACGGGAUGGGGACACAAACCUCUGGGCCGGGCAGAAGGUGCUCUUUCUUCCUUUGAUGUCCCGGCCACUCUGUCCAGACGUCGCUGGGCCUCCAGGCAGCUCAUCCAUCUCGAGCUGCAGGCAGGCAGGAAAAGGCCAUCGGACCCCUGAUCCCAGCAUGAGUGACCAGAGGCAGUUUCCGGGACACGGUGAGGCCACCAAAGGUCGCUCGUCCUUCAAGAGCCUAUGCGGGGUCCUCUGAAAAGAAGCCAUAUGUCAAUACCCUGCCCCUUCCUUCUCUGUCUGCAGAGACCAUUGCCAAACAUUGUCAAGACCAGUUCCAGUUCUCAGAGCAAACUGUGCUUCUAGCAGAUUCUACCCCAACUGUGUUUGGAUGUCCAGUGGUUUUUAUUUCUGAUUUUAAAAAAAAAAUUCCAGGUGUGCCAUACCCACUUUCCUGCAGUGUUUUAAUAUUGUGUGGAAUUGUUAAUACCAAGUGAAUUAAUCCACAAUAAAAAGGCUCACUGUCCCUUUC